rnacentral:lncRNA from 1 species
GUAGGCACCACAGAAGGGGCCCCAGGUCUGAAGACUCAGGGUGUAGGGAGAAAUCAAAGUGGAGUACAUGUCUGGCUUCACUUCUGUUAGAUGCUGGGUAUCGGGAGUUCUUCCUACAAUUCAUGAAGAAACUCCUGCUGCUCUUCCAUGUACUUUAUCCUAGAAAAGAGAACUUGUUCCACUGGCAGAAGAGACUUCCACUGGUGAAAGAAGGUCUGGAGAUUUGUUUCAACCUGCCCUUGUGAAUGGGCUGCCUGGUGUUUCAAAAAUCUCAAGGUAUUCAAUAAAGACGA